rnacentral:tRNA from 1 species
GGCUCCAUAGUGUAGUUGUUACCACGUCGGCUUUACACUCAGAAGGUCCUGGGUUCGCUUUCCAGGUGGAGCCA